GAGAAUCCUUGCUGAAAAGAAGCCAACAGAAUGUAUCUUCGGAAUUAAUUAUGGUAGCUGAAUCAGCUUUCGACACCGUGCUAAAUGCUGAGUGCUUGGAAAAGAUAAUGAUGAUGGCCAACGUGAAGCACCAGGACCCGGGAUCAAUGCUCUCCGUGCGGAAACUGUGUGAAGAAGAUGCCUUCGUGCUAGGAGCAGGUUGAGCACGGUGAGGUCGAUGCUUACACAAAUGAUGCCUCUCACUCAGACUCCACAUACUCUGGAGCUGGCGCCAUGAUUUGCAAAUGUGGUGCUUGGUGAUAUACACGAAGGUGUCUUUUGGAAGUGAAACGCAUCUUGGCAACAUCCUGCAACGGAUAGCGAGACAGAAGCACACAAGCCUGCGUGCCACUUCAGCUUGAGUCCCGUAAACGCCUCACUCACAACUGAACUCUAGAGACCCUUUCUUUGAUGAUGACCCCUGACCCCUGCACGAGGUUCACAGUGGCCACUGUGGUUGCUCAGGACCCCCGCUUAACAAUGGCCAUCUGCCAUUAAAGAAAGAGGUAAAUGCUAGUGAGUCAUAGUGGCUGUGAAGUAGUUCUUGGAGUCCCUGAACUACCAUCUAGCCAGAGCUCUCUACCUCAGCACCUCGGCCAUUUUGAACCAGAUCCUUCCUUGUUGUUUAGCGGCACUCUUGACUUUGAGAAGCUAUACACCAGGAGCACUGCCUGUUUGCUAAACGCCCCUGGGGAGCACUCCCUCCACGCCUAAGUGAGAGGGCUUCCUCCUGGAAAUCCCCUGGUGAGGACUGUAGGAGCAGGCUAUAUCACCCGUUCCCUCUCACCCCUGUGCGAGCAUGGAUCAUUGGCCACUAUUAUUUCUGACAAGGUGUCUGCCUGCACCUCAGUUAAGGUUAAAGGAAACACGGCUGUGAAUUCUAUCAGAGCUGCCGCCAGCCCCACCCCCACCCUCAGGCAGAAGAUCAGGUUGAAGGGAUGGGAUGAGCUGUUCAGGUUGCUCAAAGUCACAGCAAGGUGGAUCCACCCUGUCACCCCUGACCAAAGACACAGAGUGUCCUCCUCAUGCAGAGGUCUCUCUCUAGCAGGUCAGUGGAGAGGCUGCGGUUACAGAGACCUCACUAGUGUUCCGUCCUGUCCCUUUAGCUACUGGAGACGUUGCUGGGUGUACUGGCUGCCUUUGUGUGUCAACCUGACACCAGCUGGAGCUAUC
rnacentral:sRNA from 1 species